ACUUCACUUUCCCACUACUCUCUUCUUGCAAAUAAAGCUCUACUUUCGGCUUCAUUCUCAACCUUGUCACAGCUAUUAUAAUGGUACGAAGAGAUAUUUCAGAGUGUUUUUGUGAAAUCCGGAGUGAAUUGGAACCCCCAUUUUAACACAGGAGCCGUGUAAUCUUGUGAAAGUCAAAACAGGGCUGAUUUUAAAUAAUCCUUCAUUGAUGGAGAAAAUUGCAGAGCACCCGGGAAAAUGACAUGCAUACCUAUUGGAAGGAGGAAAACAGCGUUAUUCAUGAGUUCUAAAGGAAUAAACUAUAAAUGCAGUAUGAAUCACAAAUGAAAAAAUACAAGAUGGAGAGGAGGACUUUGCUAUCAGCACGCUCAGCCCAUGGACUCUGGGUGAGGGGAUUUGCCAUGUUGCACAAAUGCACAGUUCUCCUUUGCUACCUAGCAUCAGGUGCCUGCUUUCUAGAAACGGCUUUGAAAAGGCUGCGAUUCUUUGAUUUACUUGUUACGCCUCCCCAAGAAUUAACCUGUAAACUGAAUUAUUCACAGAGAAAUUGAAAAUUCAGGAAGUCUCAACGUGUAUUGCCAUGCCUGAGUCGGCCGGAAUAUAAAAUAACUGGUUUGGAGGGUGCAGAAGGACAUGCCAGUAAAUGCUUUCAGACAGCGUGAGCACUCCAGACUUUUUUGGCUUAAUGGUCUGGGUUUUUUUCUUUACAUAUUUCUAAUUCACGCUAUGCUUUUAGCUGAAUACUUCCUUUUGAAAUUAGGAUUUUCCUUAAAGGUCAAAAUUAAAUUAAAUGUUUAAUUCUGUCACUCCCCCCCCCCCCCCCCUUUUCUUUUUUUUCCUGUUAAUUUAACAUUCCAGAAAAUAUCAAUGCCCUUUCAUGCAGUACGCUACGUAGAUUACGCACAGUUCAGCUCAGAACUCUGCACCUAAACUGAGCAUGCAGAAGUUUGAUUCCGUCUGUUCACCAGCAACAAGAGACAGCCAGAGCUGCAUCAGCUGUAGCUCACCAUUCCCAAAUAAGCAACCUCUGACUGGAACGUUUUGGGUUUUUUUUACAGGUUUAUUUUCAACAAACCCUUAAAAAAUGCAGCUUUAAUGUUUAAUCUACUGCCUUAGCCUUGCAAAGAGAGGUUUCUUAUUCCAUUCUUACUCCAGGUAAGAACGUGUGCACAAACAGCUGUUCAUCAGAUAACCUCCAAGUCAACGCAAACCUGUAAGAACAUUCAUCUAAAAGAGCCACACACAAAAAUCCACGUCUGCUUCAGAACAAUGCCUGGAACAUAGCAUACAAAGCCUCAGCAGGAAAAAAAAAAAUAUGUUAUUUAGCAUAUUUUCCACUUUGUUGCUAAGAAACUGUUGCUUCAUUUUCCUAUUGCCAUUUGCAGAAAAAUUCUGGUUGUUCAUUUGCUACUUUGGUCAAGUCAUUGUAACAGCUAUGUAAUUAAAAGGGGUAAAAAGGAAAACAUUGGAAAGUACUCGUUGUGUUGUCAUCACCUGUAAAGUGGCCUCUGCUAUUCUCUCCUAUAGUAUACUGCCCUCCAA
rnacentral:lncRNA from 1 species